GGAUUGUGUAGAGAACAAUAAAGUGGACACUUUGCUUGCAUCAAGUUGCGUCCCCGUCUCUCAAUCACGGCAAAUUGGUGACCUCCGACGUGAUCGUCAGCGACGAAACCGCCAAGGAUUGAAAAACCGCCUACCUGGUGGCAUGUCGCGAGUCCCGCAGAACGUGGAAUGAGCUGCUGAAAGGAAGCAGGAUAAGCCGGCCGGCCAAACAAUCCCUCCGUCUGGAACGAGAGUGCUUACAAAAGUCGAUAACCGCUUCAGUAAAUAAGAUUUUUCUUGUACAAGCACAAGACCUCCCGAAAACUCCCAGUACAGAAAUGUUGGUGAAGCAAGACGUCCUCGAACUGGUUGGGCGCCGACCUUGGGAAGAAGCAAAUGUUUGAAAACAAAAAGGGGGAGAUGUGGGUUAUCUUGGCUGUAUUUAUAGGCAAUGUGCUGAUUUUAGUUAUUGGACCUGCUGUGUUAGCAUGGGAAGUUACUGGGGGGUUGUGGAAAAUUACAGCCGAUGGGUGUAAGAACAAAGCACAGGAACUGGUGGUUUGGCAACAGUAUCUUGUUAUAGUCGCGCGAAGCUUUCCUAACACGAAAGGCAUGUAGUUACAAGGACCUAAGAUAAGAUAUGCAUGCUUUCUUACUAACCUAUCAUGAGCUCAGCUUUUGUAAUAUGUAUGAGCUAAUUAGUUGGUAUACCAAUCAGUAUAAUCCACGAUAGUAGUUGUAAUGUAUGUAACAGUAUAAAAGGAUUGUGUAGAGAACAAUAAAGUGGACACUUUGCUUGCA